CCCGCUGAACUUAAGCAUAUCACUAAGCGGAGGAAAAGAAAUUAACUAAGAUUGCCUCAGUAACGGCGAGUGAAGCGGCAAAAGCCCAAAAUGGUAAUCUUCACCUUUCAGGUGACGAAUUGUAAUCUACAGGUGGGAUACUCAACUGGAAGUGAUGCAGAAGUACCCUAGAACGGGUCGCCAAAGAGGGUGACAGCCCCGUAUGUGGUGUCGCUUCCUAACGAGUACCUUUCGAAGAGUCGGGUUGUUUGGAAAUGCAGCCCUAAUUUGGAGAUACACUUCUUCUAAGGCUAAAUAUGUAUGGGAAACCGAUAGCGAACAAGUACUGUGAAGGAAAGAUGAAAAGAACUUUGAAAAGAGAGUCAAAAGACUUGAAAUCGUUGAGAAGGAAGCGGUAGAAAUUUAUUCUGCAGCUAGGAAUAAAGGUUGUCGCCUAAACAUUGUGGUAUUGAGUACUUCAACGGCUCGGUGCCACACCUGUGGAAGUGAUUGCUGGAUUCCUGGUAGUGAGGCAAAAUGGGGUUUCAUAUCCUCAAAAGCUUAGAUUACCUGGGGAGGUUCGCCUUCCAGUAGUUUUGUGCUCGUGGAUAUGAAGCCUGAGGAAGCUUAUGCGAUUUUGCUAAAAUGGUUUUUACCGACCCGUCUCGAAACACGGACCAAGGAGUCUAACAUAUAUGCGAGUGUGCUGGUGGAGAAACCAACACGUAUAAUGAAGGUAAUUGAUGCCAAGCGCAAGCAGCAGCAUCGACCGACCAUGAUCCUCCGGUGAAAGGUUUGAGUAAGAGCAUAUAUGCUAGGACCCGAAAGAUGGUGAACUAUGCCUGGGUAGGGUGAAGCCAGGGGAAACUCUGGUGGAAGCUCGAAGCGAUUCUGACGUGCAAAUCGAUCGUCAAACUUGGGUAUAGGGGCGAAAGACUAAUCGAACCAUCUAGUAGCUGGUUCCCUCCGAAGUUUCCCUUAGGAUAGCUGAGACAACAACGCAGUUUUAUCAGGUAAAGCGAAUGAUUAGAGGUAUCUGGGGUAAAUUGCCCUGGACCUAUUCUCAAACUUUAAAUUGGUAAGAACCUUGGCCUUUCUUAAUUGAGGCACAAGGGAUCAAUGCUUGUCUCAAGUGGGCCAUUUUUGGUAAGCAGAACUGGCGAUGAGGGUUGCUCCUAACGUUGAGUUAAGGUGCCAAACUACACGCUCAUCAGAAACUACAAAGGGUGUUGGUUCAUCCAGACAGCAGGACGGUGGCCAUGGAAGUCGGAACCCGCUAAGGAGUGUGUAACAACUCACCUGCCGAAUGGACUAGCCCCGAAAAUCGAUGGCGCUAAAGCGUGUGACCGAUACUCAACCAUUGUGGCGAGAGUGAGGCUACAAUGAGUAGGAGGGCGUGAACGUUGUUAAGAAGCCUCUGACGUGAGUCUGGGUUGAACAGCGUUUAGUGCAGAUCUUGGUGGUAGUAGCAAUUAUUCAAAUGAGAACUUUGAAGGCCGAAGUGGAGAAGGCUUCCGUGAGAACAGCAAUUGGUCACGGGUGACUCGAUCCUAAGACAUGGGGGAAAUCCUUGUUAAGUGCACCGUAUGGUGCGUAGUCGAAAGGGAAUGAGGUUAAUAUUCCUCAAGCUGGAUGUGGGUGUUGUAUGGUAACAUAAAUGAGCUCAGAAACGCCAGUGUGUGCCUCUGGAAGAGUUCUCUUCUCUUUUUAACAGGCUAACGACCUUGAAAUUGGAUUAUCCAGAGAUAAGGUGGUAUGCUUGGAAGAGCACCUUGCUUUUCGAGGUGUCAGGUGCGCUCACAAUGGUCCAUGAAAAUCUGAGUGAGAUAGCUUCACACCAGGUCGUACCCAUAACCGCAUCAGGUCUCCAAGGUU
rnacentral:rRNA from 1 species